GAUGAACGCUAGCGGCAGGCUUAAUACAUGCGAGUCGAGGGGCAGCAUGAAGUAGCAAUACUUUGAUGGCGACCGGCAAACGGGUGCGGAACACGUACACAACCUUCCUUUAAGUGGGGAAUAGCCCAGAGAAAUUUGGUUUAAUACCCCGUAACACAACGAAGUGGCAUCACUUUGUUGUUAUAGUUUCGGCGCUUAAUGAUGGGUGUGCGUAUGAUUAGAUAGUUGGCGAGGUAACGGCUCACCAAGUCUACGAUCAUUAGCUGAUGUGAGAGCAUGAUCAGCCACACGGGCACUGAGACACGGGCCCGACUCCUACGGGAGGCAGCAGUAAGGAAUAUUGGGCAAUGGACGCAAGUCUGAACCAGCCAUGCCGCGUGAAGGAUUAAGGUCCUCUGGAUGGUAAACUUCUUUUAUAUGGGACGAAAAAAGGUCUUUCUAGACCCCUUGACGGUACCAUAUGAAUAAGCACCGGCUAACUCCGUG
rnacentral:rRNA from 1 species